CCGGGGGCAGAGCCCAGCUGCGGGAUGCCGUGCAACGCAGGAAGCCUCGCUGGGCGCGGGGUCUGGGGCUGCCCUGCCGUGCUGAGCGAUGCCAAGGUGCAUCACGGCGCCCUGCGCGCCGCGACACCCCCGGAGCCUUUGGCUCCUCUGGGGAUUCCCCAGUGAUUUUCUGGCCUUUCUGUCACCACAAACCUCUGGGAUUAUCUCCUGAGCUCGUACCUUUCACAUCCCUGCGGCUUCUUAACACGACUGGUUUGCACUCUGCUGAGUUUCCCCAGCAGGGCUGGGCUCCUCCAAGGUCCAGGUGCUGCUGAUGAAGUUACCUGCAUUGCAACUCCCCCGCCAAUGUUUCCUGUGGGCUUUGAUGCUGAAAAGGAGAGAGAGCAGCUCCUGAAAGAUCAGGGUGCAGAAUCCCCUAAAGCAGAGCUGUCUCUAUGGAACAGGCUCAUCACCAUGAACAGACAUCGAUGGACUUCAGAUAAGACCCCGCUGCGACUGUGUUUGUUUAACAUGGGUAAUUGGUCACCCAGCAGCACCGGAGGAAUCUGUGUGUGCAGUUACCUUGCUGUCUCUAGCAAUCCCAUUGCAAUAGUUCCUGGAUGGUCCAAAGCAGAAYGA
rnacentral:lncRNA from 1 species